GACAGCUUUAGAAAUGACUUCACUUGAGUCAGUUGGUUUAGUCACUUGGCAUUUUAGUCUUUGAUCUCCUUUAUAUCAAACACAUCAGCUCUACCUCAUUCAGCACACGCCUGAGGAGCUCAACACUCUUGUACCACACUGGUGACCAGCAGACGCAUCAAUGGCACAGAGAGGAACCCAGCAGCUGAAGGCAGAGCAAGAACCACUGGAAUCAUCCAUGGAGACUUGGAGGGAAGAGGUCCAGCAGCUCAGAGAAGCCCUGGCUGAGAAGGAGGAGCAGCUCAGCAGGGCAGUGAAGAGGGAGCAGCUCAGCAGGGCAGUGAAGAGGGGACAGAUGAGGACUGUGGCCCAUGUGGAGGCCCUGACCCAGCUGAACAGCACACAAGCUGCUCUGAAGGAGAGCAACCUCAAAUGUGCUUCUCUGGAGGAAACCCUCCACAGUCAGCAGCAGGAGAAAGAGGAGCGACACAAGAGAGAGCUGAUGGAGCAGGAGGAAGGUUUGAAUCAGAAGCUCCUUGUGAUCGAGGAGGAAUUUGAGACGAAGCUGGAGGAAGAGAAGCACAGAUUUAAUGAAGAGAAAGAGGCCUUGAGGCAGCAGCUCUUUCUACAGCAAGAAAAGUUCAAGAAACUGCUGGAUGAAGAGAAACACAAAUAUAAUGAGAAGAUCAUAAAAAUAGAAGAGUCAAUGAAGCAGCAGCUGGUGGCUAAAGAACAGAACUUUAACAGGAUGGUGGCUGAUGUUUAUCAGCGGUGAGAGAGGACAGCUCAGACAUGGGUCCAUAUGAAGGAAGAGCUAGAGCACAGGUACCAAGAGAGCCAAAGUUUGAGGGAACAUGAGGAGGCAAAGAUCAAAGAGGAGAUCCAGAGGCUCUCUGAAGCAAUCCUCCAACUUGAGGUGAGACGCUGUCGCCUUUGUUCCUCUUCCAGAAGAUUUCAGAUGAUGUUCAGUGAAAUCUAAAACACAAUCUCUCUUUUCUGCAGCUUCAAAUAUCAAAGAAGCAGAAGAAAAAAUGCUUCUGUAGAUGGAUCUGGAAAAAGAUAAAGCAAACAACAAUUCCAGAGCUCCCAAAGCCCUCCUCCUCCUCUACUUCCUGACCUCCACAGCAAUACAUCCUGUCUUCAUCAGUUUUAUUUUACAGUAUCAUCAUUGUUUAUGUUCUAUGUUUGGAUCUAUGAUGUAGAAACAAUAAAACUCAAAGUUAAC
rnacentral:lncRNA from 1 species